ensembl:lncRNA
UUUUUUUUUUUUUUUCCUUUGAGAUGGAGUCUUGCCCUGUCACCCAGGCUAGAGUGCAAUGGCGCAAUCUCAGCUUACUGCAACCUCUGCCUCUCAGGUUCAAGUGAUCCUCCUGCCUCAGCCUCCCGAGUAGCUGGGAUUACAGGCAUGCACCACCACGCCCGGCUGAGUUUUUGUAUCUUGAGUAGACAGGGUUUCAUCGUGUUGGCCAGGAUGGUCUUGAACUCUUGACCUCAUGAUCUGCCCGCCUCUGGCAUGCAUUCUUCAGGACUCAUUUUCUCUAGAGAUUGCGAUUCCCCACUUUCAGCCCACAGAGUUCAGACAGGGCAGCUAUUGGGUGCAGGUGAGCACCCAUCCUGGGUCUGACCAAUCAGAACCCCGUAUCUCCCUGUCCUGUGACUAGUUCCGGAGCGGACACGUGAUCUGAGCUGGUCCCUGCAGGGACUGCUCAAAGGCAGGAUGCUGGUGGCCCUGCAGGAGGCAUCUUGAGAGCCUGCCUGGGAAUGGGGCCAGAUCACAGGGCUGAGCGAGAGGGGAGAGGCUAGUCCUGAUGCAGCAUUUCAGACCCUGGUUCCACUUGCACACAGAGUGGGUUCUGCUACUGGACUUUUCAGUUCCCUAGCUCUUUAUCCCCCUAAAACCUAUCUGAGUUGGGUUUCUGUCACUUGUAACCAACAGUCUUGGUGAAUACACCCUGGUUGUUGGACAUUAGGGUUGCUCACAACUUUUUACUCCUCUAGAAGAUGCUGCAGUGAAUAUCUUUACAUGUAGAUUUCAUCCUUGACUAGAAUGAUUUCCUUGUGAUUUUCACAGAAGUGUGCUAUUUGGCAAAGGCAUCAAACAUUGUCGGUGUUCUAUAGACAUUUUGCAAUUUAUUUCCCCAAGGCUGGCAAUGAUUUGGAUCCUCACCUUCACUCCCCAUCAGUGUAUGUAAGUGGGAUUUUAAAAAUUGAGUUCUGAAGAGUUUUUUUUUUUAACAAGCCAAAGUUGUAUUUUUUUUAAACAGGAAAAUUAUGUCAAUAUAAAACAGAUAAAAACAGACAAAAAUCAAAACACACAACACAGAAAAGCACAACACGCAAGACCAGUGCAAACCCUUCCCAACCCACUUCCCAGGUUUUAAAACUUUGAUUACAGAUCCCCAAGGAUUAGACUGUAUUGGAGAGGUCACAGUAUUGAAUCAGAAAAGAAGACAUGUUUUAAAAGGUCUGUACACAGGUAGUGGUGUGUGGGGUGGGGGGAUGUACACUUCAUCACUCCAACAUCAAAAACAGGAUGCAAAAAGAAUUUCAGCGAUGAUCACAGAUUUCUAGAACCCUACCACGUAUGCCAGCCCCCCCAUCCCCAUCCACUUUUAAAAGUUGCUUUUAAAAAGGAUAAAAAGUGCACAGACACUUUCGUAAGGCACAGACAGAUUGUCGCACAAGUCGUUUCAUUAGGGACUCGGAUAAGACAGCGAGACAGUUAAAUACCAAGAA